rnacentral:rRNA from 1 species
UACGUAGGUGGCAAGCGUUGUCCGGAUUUACUGGGCGUAAAGAGCGCGCAGGCGGUCGUUCAAGUCGCGUGUGAAAGCCCCCGGCUCAACUGGGGAGGGUCACGCGAUACUGAUCGACUGGAAGGCAGGAGAGGGUAGUGGAAUUCCCGGUGUAGUGGUGAAAUGCGUAGAUAUCAGGAGGAACACCAAUGGCGAAGGCAGCUCGCUGGGACGGUACUGACGCUAAGGCGCGAAAGCGUGGGGAGCGAACAGG